rnacentral:rRNA from 1 species
AGAGCGAACGCUGGCGGCAGGCCUAACACAUGCAAGUCGAGCGGCCGUAGCAAUACGGCAGCGGCAGACGGGAGAGUAACACGUGGGAACGUGCCCAUCAGUUCGGAACAACCCAGGGAAACUUGGGCUAAAUACCGGAUACGCCCUUACGGGGAAAGAUUUAUCGCUGAUGGAGCGGCCCGCGUCUGAUUAGCUAGUUGGUGAGGUAACGGCUCACCAAGGCGACGAUCAGUAGCUGGUCUGAGAGGAUGAUCAGCCUCACUGGGACUGAGACACGGCCCAGACUCCGUACGGGAGGCAGCAGUGGGAAUAUGGACAAUGGGCGCAAGCCUGAUCCAGCCAUGCCGCGUGGAUGAGUAGAAGGCCUUAGGGUUAGUAAAAUCGUUUCGGCGGGAAGAGUAAGUGAACGGUACCCGCGAAGAAGAACGCCCGGCUAACUUCGU